rnacentral:lncRNA from 1 species
GAAGGAAGGAGGGGGGGUAGUUGCACAAGCUCACUUUGGGCGUCAUACCGGUGGCGAUCCAAAGGUAAAUUCUUUGACUUAGAUGACUUCUAUUAAUUCUAAUCUUAAACCUGAAGGUAGUUCGGUGUCCUAGGCUAAAUGCUGAGGUAAUGUAAAGUUUGUCAGCUCAUUUUAUGUAGAUAACUAAUAAAAGAAAGAUUCAUCGCACCACAAUCAUCGUUCGUUCCAAAAUCUAAGGAAAAGUAAGAGUAGUUUAUUACCCUAAAUUCCCAGAUUUCAAAUAAUCUAGUGAUUUGAUUUUUUGACUGACUGAAUAUUAUGGUAUUGUGGAGAGAUUAGUUAUUUUAAGAAUAUUUGAGAAUGAAGAUAUUGAAAAUUUUGGAAAGCAUUAUGUAUAUAAUGGUGUAGUGUGAAAAGUUUGAAAUCUGGUGAAACAAGGAGCGAUGGAGGUUUCCUAGAUGUCUCAGGCAUCAGGAGGAAGAAGAUGAGUUUUUUCUUGGGGUGGGUACUAGGUUGGGUCUUCAAACCGUUAGGCCUAGAUCUAAAAGUUCUAGUAAUUUGGGUCAGAGCAAG